rnacentral:misc_RNA from 1 species
UUUCCGUAGGUGAACCUGCGGAAGGAUCAUUAAUGUGUUUGGGCCUCACGGCUCUUUAUUCCGACGCUGUGCGCCUUCGGGCUGCACGCUGAGGGAGCAUAUAUCCACCCCUGUGCACACACACGGUGGCGAGCUGGGUAACGGCUCGCCGCUGAUCUUUACACACGUCUAAAAGUCAUUGUAUGUUUAUUUGAGAUAAAACACAACUUUCAGCAACGGAUCUCUUGGCUCUC